rnacentral:miRNA from 1 species
UUGUCGCAGGUAUGGAUGUAUCUA